AGUAACCCUCCUUUUGAACACUUAUCUUUUUGUGGUAAUGACCCUGGAGCAGUAUUUCUGGGCAGAUGGUGCUGAGGGAGUCUGGGAUCUAUAAGACCUCUGGGAGUCACAGGGCACCUCACUGCUGAUGGAGUCUCUUAAGAACAGUUAAUGACUUGCUGCUCAUUUACAGAAGAGUCCAUGUCAGCAUGUCUUUUCAACUGGUCUUUUAUAUUUCAGUAUAUUUAUUUUCUUUUCAGUUUCACAGUGACAAGCAAGAGACUGCAACCCUUACAACGUAAGAGUUGGUGAUUGGUGGGGUGAUGAGGAAGCCCAGAGAAAACCACAGAAAAGAUCUCCAAUCUUUGCCUUUAUAUGCAGCCUGACAAGUGAAGUGGAAUGCCAGCAGACUUCUCUCAACAAACUAAGAGGGGAUAGAGCAGAAAAGAAAAGGAAUGUAGCUAGAGAAAGGGUCCAGGACUUCACACAGAUGACACCCACUUAGGAAAAAACAAACAAACUUUAGCCUCAGCAGAAGCAAGACAAGCCAGAGGGCUUCUCACAGUCAAAAACUGGGAUCUAUCCUAGGCUGGAUCCAAUUAAUAAAACAAACUGAUCCCGAUUGGUUCACCCAUCUUGCCUAGAAAAAAAGUCAACUGC